rnacentral:ncRNA from 1 species
GAAGAAUUCUUUAGUUCGUUUUUAUUAUAUAAAAUUAUUUUGUAUGUGAUUUAUAAAUAGAUAAAGGUAAAUUUAUAGAGUGAAUUUAUAUAGUUUAAAUAUGCAAUAAAGAAUAUUAUUUUUUUAAGGAAUUAAGAUAUAGUAAUUAUUUUUAAUACAAACAAAAUUUGUGCCAGCAGUUGCGGUUAAACAGAUUGUGUAAUAAUAAAUGAUUGGAAAUAUAGUUAAUAUAUUUUUAGUGAUUAAGUUUAAAUUAAAGUUUAUGAGGUGAAAUUUUAAAUUUUAAUAAAUUUAAAAUUUAUGAGUCUAAGAAAAUUUUAUUUUAAACUAGGAUUAGAUACCCUAUUAUUGAAAUAGUAUAAAUAAAGUCCUAAUUAUUAAUAGUUAAGUUCUUAAAAAUUAAGAAGAUUGGCGGUAUUUUAGUCUAAUUAGAGGAACCUGUCCUGUAAUUGAUAGUCCACGUUUUCGAAGACUUAUUUUUUUAAUUUACAUAUCGCCGUUAAAUGAAUAUUUUUAUAGGGAAAAAAUAUUCAAAAUUUUUAAUGAAGAAAAUUCAGGUCAAGAUGUAGUGUAUAAAUAAGUAGAGAUGGGUUACAAUAAUUUUAUUUAUACGAAUAAGUUUUUGUAAAUGAACUUUAAAGGUGGAUUUAAUAGUAAUUUUUAAUAAUUUUUAAAGAUGACGUUAGCUCUAAAAUAUGUACAUAUCGCCCGUCGCUUUCAUUUUAAAGUGGAAUAAGUCGUAACAUAGUGGGGAUACUGGAAAGUGUUCCUAGAAAUUC